CGAUGGAUAAUCUUCAGAUGAGCUUCCACAUCAGGUAAAUUUCAGACGGCCUUCCCUAGCAACCGGACUCCUACCGAACUUCACCAACAGAAAAUCUCCAUCCGAGCUUCUACAGCAGAUGACUCCCGCCUGCAACAUCAGCGCCAAAGACAUCCGACAACAGUACACUCAUCAGCAGCCUCGAAAAUAUCUGAGCUUCUCCUAGAUAGAUAGGAUAGAGAGCCAUUCUGCUCCAUCGGAUAUCCCAGCCAAGCUCCAACC
rnacentral:lncRNA from 1 species